UACGGGGGGGGUAAGCGUUGUCCGGAAUUAUUGGGCGUAAAGAGCUCGUAGGCGGUUUGUCGCGUCGAAUGUGAAAACCCGGGGCUCAACCCCGGGCCUGCAUUCGAUACUGGGCGGCUAGAGUCUGGUAGGGGGAUCUGGAAUUCCUGGUGUAGCGGUGGAAUGCGCAGGAUAUCAGGAGGAACACCGGUGGCGAAGGCGGGUCUCUGAGCCGAUGACUGACGCUGAGGAGCGAAAGCGUGGGGAGCAAACAGG
rnacentral:rRNA from 1 species